GGCAAUUAGAAAUGAAAAAUACAAGGCAGAAUCCAAGCUUAUGGCACUGCAGAUUCAAACUGUGCAGGACCCUAACAAAAGGAGGGGGCAA